GAUGAACGCUGGCGGCGUGCCUAAUACAUGCAAGUCGAGCGAACGGACGAGAAGCUUGCUUCUCUGAUGUUAGCGGCGGACGGGUGAGUAACACGUGGAUAACCUACCUAUAAGACUGGGAUAACUUCGGGAAACCGGAGCUAAUACCGGAUGAUAUAUUGAACCGCAUGGUUCAAAAGUGAAAGACGGUCUUGCUGUCACUUAUAGAUGGAUCCGCGCCGCAUUAGCUAGUUGGUAAGGUAACGGCUUACCAAGGCAACGAUGCGUAGCCGACCUGAGAGGGUGAUCGGCUACACUGGAACUGAGACACGGUCCAGACUCCUACGGGAGGCAGCAGUAGGGAACCUUCCGCAAUGGGCGAAAGCCUGACGGAGCAACGCCGCGUCAGUGAUGAAGGUCUUCGGAUCGUAAAACUCUGUUAUUAGGGAAGAACAUAUGUGUAAGUAACUGUGCACGUCUUGACGGUACCUAAUCAGAAAGCCACGGCUAACUACGUG
rnacentral:rRNA from 1 species